UACGGGGGGGGGCAAGCGUUGUUCGGAAUCACUGGGCUUAAAGGGCGCGUAGGCGGGCUGCCAAGUCAGGGGUGAAAUCCCACGGCUCAACCGUGGAAGUGCCUCUGAUACUGGCGGCCUCGAGGGAGGUAGGGGCGUGCGGAACUUCCGGUGGAGCGGUGAAAUGCGUAGAUAUCGGAAGGAACACCGGUGGCGAAAGCGGCGCGCUGGACCUCUACUGACGCUGAGGCGCGAAAGCCAGGGGAGCAAACGGG
rnacentral:rRNA from 1 species